UACGUAGGUGACAAGCGUUGUCCGGAUUUACUGGGCGUAAAGAGCGCGCAGGCGGUCGUUCAAGUCGAGUGUGAAAGCCCCCGGCUCAACUGGGGAGGGUCACUCGAUACUGAUCGACUCGAAGGCAGGAGAGGGAAGUGGAAUUCCCGGUGUAGUGGUGAAAUGCGUAGAUAUCGGGAGGAACACCAGUGGCGAAGGCGACUUCCUGGCCUGUUCUUGACGCUGAGGCGCAAAAGCUAGGGGAGCAAACGGGG
rnacentral:rRNA from 1 species